rnacentral:tRNA from 2 species
GCCCGAGUGGCGGAAUGGCAGACGCAGGGGACUCAAAAUCCUCCGCCCGCGAGGGCGUGUGAGUUCGACUCUCACCUCGGGCACCA